UUUGAUCCUGGCUCAGGAUGAACGCUAGCGGCAGGCCUAAUACAUGCAAGUCGAACGAGCUCAGAGACUUCGGUUUCUGGGUUAGUGGCGCACGGGUGCGUAACGCGUAUGCAACCUACCUCUCACUGGGGGAUAGCCCGAGGAAACUCGGAUUAAUACCGCAUAAGAUAGCUGACCUGGCAUCAGGUUGUUAUUAAAGCUUUGGCGGUGGGAGAUGGGCAUGCGUGCCAUUAGCUAGUUGGUAGUGUAACGGACUACCAAGGCUUCGAUGGCUAGGGGCUCUGAGAGGACGGUCCCCCACACUGGUACUGAGACACGGACCAGACUCCUACGGGAGGCAGCAGUAGGGAAUAUUGGGCAAUGGCCGCGAGGCUGACCCAGCCAUGCCGCGUGCAGGAUGAAGGCCUUCUGGGUUGUAAACUGCUUUUAUCAGGGAAGAAAACGCUCCUGCGGGAGUAACUGACGGU
rnacentral:rRNA from 1 species